rnacentral:ncRNA from 5 species
AGGCAGUGUAGUUAGCUGAUUGA